CAGACUGGGCCGCGCUGCCCCCAGGGAGGGCAGGGCCCGCGGCCCGCAGGAAAGGAAGGGCCUGGCGUUUCCCCCGCCCCCCAAGCGUCGCCGAGUUUCUCGGAGUUGUGUUUUGUCACCUGGCUGGCUUUCCCCUUCUUGGCCAACCCCCGCCCCGGCACCGGUCCCAACCACCUUCUACCCCUCACCCCUCAUCCUCCCGGCCGCAGGCUCCCAAAUCCACGUGUAUGUGGCUUGUUUCAAGGGCUGCGAUAAUGACUGUUGCCUUCUGGUGGAAAAUAUGAAACUUAAACGGAAGGAAAAAAAAAAAAAAGAAAAAGGAAAGCUUUUUAGGCCAAUUUGACAUCCAGAUUCCUGAGUCAUUUAUGUCAUGUUGUGCGAAGCCCACAGAAUGCCAGGGAAAGAAAGGGACCGGACAAUUGCAAUCCUUUUUAUUGUCUGUUUCAAACUGCACGGUGCUUUGCACACCUCCCCUGGGGUGCGGACCAGCUGGGCGGGUGUGCAGUGAGCUAGCAGGAUAAGGUCCUCUUGCAGCACAGCUGAGCCCCGCAAACCCGCUCUCCGGCUUCUGCUGUCCAUCGGCUCUGUCCUGACUGCACCGCACCGUCUUGCUUCAGGGUAUCCGGAGAGGAGAGGUGUCUCCCGUGCACUCGUCUGACCAGCCCCACACACUUUUUCUGAUGCAUCUCUUUAGAUUGGAAACCUACAUGCCAGGCCCGGUCCCAGGAUCACAGCACCCUUGGCCCCUCCAGGCCACCACAGGCGGUCCCUGUGGACGGUGUCUUGCGUGUCUUUCCAGAAAACAUUUUCUCCACAUUUAUGAGCGGGUAUGUGCACUCCUGUUUGUUUUUUUUUUCUUUGUAUCAUUGCACUUCUGUUUUAAUGUUCACACCGAGAAGGGUGCGCUCUGCCUUGUGCUGCUUCCUGGUUCCCCCUUUGCUAAUGCGUCUGGCUGCGCUUUUCAGAUGAGCACUCACCGUCGCCUCCCUUCCAGAGCAGCGCGGCAGGUGCAUGGAUGCGCUGUAAUGUAGUCAAGCUGGACAUAUUUUGGCGAGCAGAUCAACCCACGAUAUUUAACUCGAAUAUCUUGUACUGCCUGGAUGAACAUUUAGUUGUUACCAGUUUUCUCUUGUUUUCCGCGGCACCCAGAACCACUGUAUAAAACCCGGAUAGGAGGUCCCUGGUGGCUCAGCGGGUUAAGGAUCUGGCGUUGUCACUGCUAUGACGCUGGUCACUGCUGUGGCUCAGGUUCCAGCCCUGGCCAAGAAACUUCUGCAUGUUGUGAGUGUGUCGAAACAACAGCAACACAGAUAGCUGGUGUUCUGGUCCAGAGCAGAUCCCUAGAAGUGUGUUUGCUGGAUCCAAGGGGUGGCUCCUUUGCCUGAUGCCCUAAGAGGCCUAUCGACCCCACAGCCACAAGGAUGCUUUGCUGGGCAAAAUCCGGGAGGGCUUCUGGACACCCAAGCCCCAGGAGCGGAGCAGCGCUCAGGGCGGCGUGGCUCACGUGUCGAUGGUGCUGACGGAUGUGAAGCGCCGGGUGUAAGAGGGCCGCCCCGCCCCCACCCUGCACCCAGGGGCGCAGAGAGAAAGUCCCAGCGGGAGACCCUGGCCCCUCAGUUCACCACUCACGCCCUGGCCACGCGGCUCCUGCAAGCUCUGCCUCCCCACUUAGCUCGCUCCAUUUCGCUGGGGAGCCUGCCCGCCCAGCACUCCUGCCAAGGCUGCAGACGGGCUGGACCCCGAGACCCGGAGUCCUGAAGGCCUGGGUUUGGCUUUGUCCCCUGUGCCACCUUGUCCCCUGCAGGGCCGCUCAUCCAUGUCUGUGUGCCCUCUCCCGGGCCUGUGGCCCUGCCAUGUCUGCUGCUGGCCUUCCGUGGGCCACCGGCCCCUCGCCCUGCCCUUCUCCCCCUCAGGGCUGCAGCCCCGCUGGCCCGGGCCUCUCCUCCUCCAACAUUCCUGCAAGCUGAAGUCACUCGUUCCUUCACCAGGGUCAUCCUGGGACGUGUCUUCCACCCUUCUGCUCAUUUUGUCCGUGUGUGGGAGAGAACAGGGCUGAGGGAGGCGGACUCCAAUUUUGGGAAAACAGACAUGGAAGCGGUCAGGGAUGGAACCGGUGUUAGAGGAAGCAGAUGCAGCUUCUCUGUGCCGCCCUGCCCGGGCCCCAGAGGACCGGGCGCCCUUCCUCCUGUGCCUCUGGUUCUCCUGGCUACCGGGGGG
ensembl:lncRNA